CUCACGAACGAGCACACCCGUCGCGAGGCGGGGCCGCAAAGCCACGGGACUCUCCGAGUCAGCCGGGUUGCCGAA
rnacentral:ncRNA from 1 species